rnacentral:rRNA from 1 species
UACGGAGGGGGCUAGCGUUGUUCGGAAUUACUGGGCUUAAAGGGCGCGUAGGCGGGUGGUCAAGUCAGAGGUGAAAUCUUUCGGCUCAACCGGAAAAGUGCCCCUGAUACUGGCCAUCUCGAGGGAGGUAGGGGCAUGUGGAACUUCCGGUGGAGCGGUGAAAUGCGUAGAUAUCGGAAGGAACGCCGGUGGCGAAAGCGACGUGCUGGACCUCUUCUGACGCUGAGGCGCGAAAGCUAGGGGAGCAAACGGG